rnacentral:rRNA from 1 species
AAACUUAAAGGAAUUGACGGGCCCGCACAAGCAGCGAGCGUGUGGUUUAAUUCGAUGCUACACGAAGAACUUACCAGGGUUUGACAUGCAAGUGGUAGGAACCGAAAGGCGACCGACCUUCGGGAGCUUGCACAGGUGCUGCAUGGCUGUCGUCAGCUCGUGUCGUGAGAUGUUCGGUUAAGUCCGCUAACGAGCGCAACCCUCGCUGUGUGUUACAAGUGUCACACGGUACUGCCGGUCUUAAGCCGGAGGAAGGUGGGGAUGACGUCAAGUCAGCAUGGCCUUUAUAUCCAGGGCUACACACACGCUACAAUGGUCUGUACAAUGGGUAGCCAAGCCGCGAGGCGGAGCCAAUCCUGAAAGCAGGCCUCAGUUCAGAUUGCAGUCUGCAACUCGACUGCAUGAAGCCGGAGUUGCUAGUAACCGCAGGUCAGCAAUACUGCGGUGAAUACGUUCCCGGGUCUU